AGUCGCUGGAGAGCACUCGGCGUAUGCUGGCCAUGGUUGAGGAGAGUAAAGAUGCCGGUAUCAGGACUCUGGUUAUGCUGGAUGAGCAGGGAGAGCAACUGGAGCGGAUCGAGGAGGGGAUGGACCAGAUCAAUAAGGACAUGAAGGAUGCAGAAAAGAAUUUGAACAAUCUAGGGUCUCUCUGUGGUCUUUGUUCAUGUCCCUGUAACAAGUAGGUGC